rnacentral:rRNA from 1 species
GACGAACGCUGGCGGCGUGCCUAAUACAUGCAAGUUGAGCGAUGAAGAUUGGUGCUUGCCCCAAUUUGAAGAGCAGCGAACGGGUGAGUAACGCGUGGGGAAUCUGCCUUUGAGCGGGGGACAACAUUUGGAAACGAAUGCUAAUACCGCAUAACAACUUUAAACAUAAGUUUUAAGUUUGAAAGAUGCAAUUGCAUCACUCAAAGAUGAUCCCGCGUUGUAUUAGCUAGCUGGUGAGGUAAAGGCUCACCAAGGCGAUGAUACAUAGCCGACCUGAGAGGGUGAUCGGCCACAUUGGGACUGAGACACGGCCCAAACUCCUACGGGAGGCAGCAGUAGGGAAUCUUCGGCAAUGGACGAAAGUCUGACCGAGCAACGCCGCGUGAGUGAAGAAGGUUUUCGGAUCGUAAAACUCUGUUGGUAGAGAAGAACGUUGGUGAGAGUGGAAAGCUCAUCAAGUGACGGUAACUACACAGAAAGGGACGGCUAACUACGUG